UGGAAAGAAUGAACAGGAGAGGAGGC
rnacentral:piRNA from 1 species